rnacentral:rRNA from 1 species
UACGUAGGUGACGAGCGUUAUCCGGAAUUACUGGGCGUAAAGGGCUCGUAGGCGGCCAACUAAGUCGGAUGUGAAAUCCCCAGGCUUAACCUGGGAACUGCAUCCGAUACUGGAUGGCUUGAAUUCGGGAGAGGGAUGCAGAAUUCCAGGUGUAGCGGUGAAAUGCGUAGAUAUCUGGAGGAAUACCGGUGGCGAAGGCGGCAUCCUGGACCGACAUUGACGCUGAGGAGCGAAAGCUAGGGGAGCAAACGGG